CCCUUAGAUGUUCUGGGCCGCACGCGCGCUACACUGUUCGACGCAGCGAGUCUUAACCUUGACCGAAAGGUUUGGGUAAUCUUCAGCAAAGUCGAACGUGAUGGGGAUCGAUCAUUGCAAUUAUUGAUCGUGAACGAGGAAUUCCUAGUAAGUGCAAGUCAUCAGCUUGCGCUGAUUACGUCCCUGCCCUUUGUACACACCGCCCGUCGCUACUACCGAUUGAAUGGUUUAGUGAGAUCUCUGGAUUGACGCUGGCUAGGGGGCGACCCUUGGCCAGGCUGUCGAGAAACUGCUCAAACUUGAUCAUUUAGAGGAAGUAAAAGUCGUAACAA
rnacentral:rRNA from 1 species